rnacentral:rRNA from 1 species
UACGAAGGGGGCAAGCGUUGUUCGGAAUUACUGGGCGUAAAGGGCGCGUAGGCGGCCGCCUUUGUCAGGUGUGAAAGCCCCAGGCUCAACCUGGGAAUUGCACUUGGGACGGGGUGGCUUGAGUUCGGGAGAGGAGAGUGGAAUUCCCAGUGUAGAGGUGAAAUUCGUAGAUAUUGGGAAGAACACCGAUGGCGAAGGCAGCCCCCUGGGUCAAGAUUGACGCUCCAUGCACGAAAGCGUGGGGAGCAAACAGG